GAGAAUGCCGGAAUGAGUAGCGAGAGGAAGGUGAGAAUCCUUCCGGCCGAAUAUCUAAGGUUUCCAGAGUAAAGCUGAUCUGCUCUGGGUAAGUCGGGGCCUAAGGCGAGGUCGAAAGACGUAGUCGAUGGAUAACAGGUUGAAAUUCCUGUACUAUCCUGUAACAGAACUGUGGGGACACAGGCAGAGAGCGUGAGCCGGGAAUGGAAAGACCGGUACAAGCGAGGUAGGAGAAGAGUUGGCAAAUCCGCUCUUUAAUCUGAAGACGUGAUGUGGACUGAAAAUAAGUAGGGAAGCACGUGAGCUGACUGUCAAGAAAAGCCGCUAUUGUUUGCAGGAUACCCGUACCGUAAACCGACACAGGUGGAUGAGGAGAGAAUCCUAAGGCCGACGGGAGAAGCAUUGUUAAGGAACUCGGCAAAAUGACUCCGUAACUUCGGGAGAAGGAGUGCCAGUAAGAUGGCCGCAGAGAAUUGGCCCAAGCAACUGUUUAGCAAAAACACAGGUCUAUGCAAAACCGAAAGGUGAGGUAUAUGGGCUGACGCCUGCCCGGUGCUGGAAGGUUAAGGGGAGAGGUUAGCGCAAGCGAAGCUUUGAACUUAAGCCCCAGUAAACGGCGGCCGUAACUAUAACGGUCCUAAGGUAGCGAAAUUCCUUGUCGGGUAAGUUCCGACCCGCACGAAAGGCGUAAUGAUUUGGGCACUGUCUCAACAAUGCACCCGGUGAAAUUGAAAUACCAGUGAAGAUGCUGGUUACCUGCGCCAGGACGGAAAGACCCCAUGGAGCUUUACUCCAGUCUGGUACUGGGACUCGGUAUUGCAUGUACAGGAUAGGUGGGAGGCUGAGAAAUGGUAACGCCAGUUGCCAUGGAGCCGCUGUUGGGAUACCACCCUUGCAGUACUGGGUUUCUAACCAGCAGCCGUGAUCCGGCUGGGGGACAAUGUCAGGUGGGGAGUUUGACUGGGGCGGUCGCCUCCGAAAGGGUAUCGGAGGCGCUCAAAGGUUCCCUCAGAAUGGUUGGAAACCAUUCGAAGAGUGCAAAGGCAGAAGGGAGCUUGACUGCGACACCGACGGGUGGAGCAGGUACGAAAGUAGGACUUAGUGAUCCGGUGGUAUAAAGUGGGAUUGCCAUCGCUCAACGGAUAAAAGCUACCCUGGGGAUAACAGGCUUAUCACUCCCAAGAGUUCACAUCGACGGAGUGGUUUGGCACCUCGAUGUCGGCUCAUCGCAUCCUGGGGCUGUAGUAGGUCCCAAGGGUUGGGCUGUUCGCCCAUUAAAGCGGUACGCGAGCUGGGUUCAGA
rnacentral:rRNA from 1 species